rnacentral:lncRNA from 1 species
CUCUUUCUCAGGACCUCGGAUUCCACCUCCGCGUCCGUGACGGCCUGCUGCUCGUACGCCAGCUAGAUCUUCAAUUGCUGCAACUCAGCCGUCCUCUCCCCGAGGGCGACAGAAAGUCCUUCGACAGUUCCCCUUAGGGACUGGAGUUCGUUGGAAUCCCGAGAAGAAGCGAGCUGAGCCCUAUCUGCUAGCUGCCUUUGAAGACGGGUG